rnacentral:rRNA from 1 species
UACGUAGGUGGCAAGCGUUGUUCGGAAUUAUUGGGCGUAAAGGGCGCGUAGGCGGCCAUGCGUGUCUUCCGUGAAAUCCCUCGGCUUAACUGAGGACGUGCGGAAGAAACUGCAAGGCUCGAGUCCGGGAGAGGAGGGUGGAAUUUCCAGUGUAGCGGUGAAAUGCGUAGAUAUUGGGAGGAACACCGGUGGCGAAGGCGGCCCUCUGGACCGGUACUGACGCUGAUGCGCGAAAGCGUGGGUAGCAAACGGG